GCAACGCGAAGAACCUUACCUGGUCUUGACAUCCACAGAACUUUCCAGAGAUGGAUUGGUGCCUUCGGGAACUGUGAGACAGGUGCUGCAUGGCUGUCGUCAGCUCGUGUUGUGAAAUGUUGGGUUAAGUCCCGCAACGAGCGCAACCCUUAUCCUUUGUUGCCAGCGGUCCGGCCGGGAACUCAAAGGAGACUGCCAGUGAUAAACUGGAGGAAGGUGGGGAUGACGUCAAGUCAUCAUGGCCCUUACGACCAGGGCUACACACGUGCUACAAUGGCGCAUACAAAGAGAAGCGACCUCGCGAGAGCAAGCGGACCUCAUAAAGUGCGUCGUAGUCCGGAUUGGAGUCUGCAACUCGACUCCAUGAAGUCGGAAUCGCUAGUAAUCGUGGAUCAGAAUGCCACGGUGAAUACGUUCCCGGGCCUUGUACACACCGCCCGUCACACCAUGGGAGUGGGUUGCAAAAGAAGUAGGUAGCUUAACCUUCGGGAGGGCGCUUACCACUUUGUGAUUCAUGACUGGGGUGAAGUCGUAACAAGGUAACCGUAGGGGAACCUGCGGUUGGAUCACCUCCUUACCUUAAAGAAGC
rnacentral:rRNA from 1 species